ensembl:lncRNA
AUUCUCUCUGGCACUACAGAAUAGUUUCUCUUGACUGUUCAUUUUCGUUAUUUGCUCUUAUUACAUGAAUACGAAAGCCGGACCCAACCCAUUUCUUCUGAAAUACUGCAAUUCUCUCUGGCACUACAGCAUAGUUUCUCUUGACUGUUCAUUUCCGUUAUUUGCUCUUAUUACAUGAAUAAGAAAGCCGAAAAUAUGAAAGGAGGGGCUUAAAAAGGUCAAUGUCACCCGAAUGACAAAACGAAAGGUAGCUAAAACUAAUAACUUGGUAUUUACACUGGAAGGAAAUCUUGUGGCGGACCAGAUUCUUUUUGAACUUCAUUAGUUUCGUCUUCCAUAUGUAGGUACCUACUUUUAUGCUAACAUAAGAAGUUUUUAAGAGUCGUGACCCGUUUUCAUGUGGCGUGAAGUUAUUGGAUUAAACUGGUUAGCAAAUAGCGUCACAAAAAGUUCUCAAAAUAUCCAUGAAACCCUCUGAAUUUAAAAGUGGGCCUGCACAUACUUUGAAAGAACAAGGAUUAUGUGAAUGCACACAGAGAAUGGAUUUUGAUGUUUUCCUUCAGCAGUCCAACAUCCCAUUCGUCCUUUCCAAAUAGAGUGAUGACGCCCAACGUGGGGCUCGAACCCACGACCCUGAGAUUAAGAGUCUCAUGCUCUACCGACUGAGCUAGCCGGUCACUCUGACGUGUCCCAUCGUGGACGGACCCAACCCAUUUCUUCUGAAAUACUGCAAUUCUCUCUGGCACUACAGCAUAGUUUCUCUUGACUGUUCAUUUCCGUUAUUUCCUCUUAUUACAUGAAUACGAAAGCCGGACCCAACCCAUUUCUUCUGAAAUACUGCAAUUCUCUCUGGCACUACAGCAUAUUUCUCUUCACUGUUCAUUUCCGUUAUUUGCUCUUAUUACAUGAAUAAGAAAGCCGAAAAUAUGAAAGGAGGGGCUUAAAAAGGUCAAUGUCACCCGAAUGAAAAAACGAAAGGUAGCUAAAACUAAUAACUUGGUAUUUACACUGGAAGGAAAUCUUGUGGCGGACCAGAUUCUUUUUGAACUUCAUUAGUUUCGUCUUCCAUAUGUAGGUACCUACUUUUAUGCUAACAUAAGAAGUUUUUAAGAGUCGUGACCCGUUUUCAUGUGGCGUGAAGUUAUUGGAUUAAACUGGUUAGCAAAUAGCGUCACAAAAACUUCUCAAAAUAUCCAUGAAACCCUCCGAAUUUAAAAGUGGGCCUGCACAUACUUUGCAAAAACAAGGAUUAUGUGAAGGCAUAUAGUGAAUGGAUUUUGAUGUUUUCCUUCAGCAGUCCAACAUCCCAUUCGUCCUUUCCAAAUAGAGUGAUGACGCCCAACGUGGGGCUCGAACCCACGACCCUGAGAUUAAGAAUGUGAUGCUCUACCGACUGAGCUAGCCGGGCACUCUGACAUGUCCCAUCGUGGACGGAUCCAACCCAUUUCUUCUGAAAUACUGCAAUUCUCUCUGGCACUACAGCAUAGUUUCUCUUCACUGUUCAUUUUCGUUAAUUGCUCUUAUUACACGAAUAAGAAAGCCGAAAAUAUGAAAGGAGGGGCUUAGAAAGGUCAAUGUCACCGGAUGAAAAAACAAAAGUGAGCUAAAACUAAUAAACUAACUUGGUUUGUAAAAACAAAAUAUAUAAAUAAAAUAAAUAUCACUUUCCCUCCACUGCUGGGACCAGUGACAGAAUACUCAAAAUCUCUCCGAGAAAACCUCCUUCCUUCCUCUCUCCUCCCACUGUCUCUGUGUAUCUCUCCCACUGCUGUCUAAUAAUACCUCUGUUCAGCUCAACAUAGGGGCCUUUGAUAGCACCGGCUACUCCAGGCUACAAUUCGUCAGCCAUGACGUCAAUGCAUCCAAACAUAUAGGGCUGUGUGUAGAAGAGAACCUUACUGUGGGUGGGUUAGCUGGGCCUGCUUCACCCAUGACUUUUAGCUUCCCAUGGUUUUUGAGUACAGUGAAUAAAAAAACAAAGUUAUGAAUGCUGGAAAGGUGAGGAGAGGGUGCACAUUACAAAAAACAACAUUGAACGAUCAAAUGACUGGCAGCAUUUGUUCACAAACAAAACAUGGAGAAUCAAUGUAAAACAUCUUAAUUAAAGUUCAAAAACCAUACAUUUACGGAAACUUUCAUUAAAUCACUGUUACAUCACUGAUUGGUUGAGGCCAGAUGCGCAACAUUUCAUUAUUACAUUACAUUACAUGUAAUUUAGCUGACGCUUUUCAUCCAAGGCAACUAAGUGCAUUUCAACCAUAAGAAUACAAACUCAGAAGAACAAGACACAAGAAAGUGCAAUUUCAUCAAAUAACCCAAUUUACAUCUUCAAAAGCAGUGCAGCAUUGUACUGGACUGCAUUAUGUUUGAUGUAGUGAAUAAGGAUUUAUCUUAAAAAUACAAAGAAAAUCAAAAUUAUUACUAUGGAUAUGAACUUUUAUAUUACGUGCAACAUAUUUAAUUACAGAUCAUUGUUGUUAUUAAAUACAUAAAUAAAUUUGCAUGUUAUUUAAGGAUGCAGUAAAGAUACUGUAUCAAUAAGACAUAAAUCAAUAACCUUUUCAUGUAUAUAUAUAUAUAUAUAUAUAU